rnacentral:rRNA from 4 species
UUCCUGGUGUCUUUAACGUGAUGGCACCACUCCGAUUCCAUCCCGAACUCGGUUGUGAAACUUCACCGUGGCCAAGAUACUUGUCGGGUUGCCGACCGGGACAAUAGCUCGAUGCCAGGAUU